rnacentral:rRNA from 1 species
UGAGGAAUAUUGCGCAAUGGGGGCAACCCUGACGCAGCAACGCCGCGUGAGUGAGGAAGGUUUUCGGAUUGUAAAGCUCUGUCGAGCGGAAAGAAAUGCAUUAUGGCUAAUAUCCAUAAUGCUUGACGGUACCGCUAAAGGAAGCACCGGCUAACUCCGUGCCAGCAGCCGCGGUAAUACGGGGGGUGCAAGCGUUGUUCGGAAUCAUUGGGCGUAAAGAGCGUGUAGUCGGCUUAACAAGUCAGAGGUGAAAUCCCUGGGCUGAACCCAGGAAGUGCAUUUGAAACUGUUUGGCUUGAGGAAGGUAGAGGAAAGUGGAAUUCCUGGUGUAGAGGUGAAAUUCGUAGAUAUCAGGAGGAACACCGGUGGCGAAGGCGACUUUCUGGCCCUAUACUGACGCUGAGACGCGAAAGCGUGGGUAGCAAACA